GACGAACGCUGGCGGCGUGCUUAACACAUGCAAGUCGAACGGAAAGGCCUGCUUUCCCUUGUGGAUUGCGGGUACUCGAGUGGCGAACGGGUGAGUAACACGUGAGUGAUCUGCCCCCAACUUGGGUAUAAGCCUGGGAAACUGGGUCUAAUUCCCGAUAGGACUGCAGGGUGGUGCCUGUGGUGGAAAACGAUUUUCUAGUGGUUGGGGAUGAGCUCGCGGCCUAUCAGCUUGUUGGUGGGGUAAUGGCCUACCAAGGCGGCGACGGGUAGCCGGCCUGAGAGGGGGGACGGCCACAUUGGGACUGAGAUACGGCACAGACUCCUACGGGAGGCAGCAGUGGGGAAUAUUGCACAAUGGGCGGAAGCCUGAUGCAGCGACGCCGCGUGGGGGAUGACGGCCUUCGGGUUGUAAACUCCUUUCGACCGCGAGGAAGCCACCUGGUUGGAAGGGUGGUGACGGUAGUGGUAGAAGAAGCACCGGCUAACUACGUG
rnacentral:rRNA from 1 species